GUGCACCUUCAGAAAUUAAGUUUGAGUAAAAAAGUCUUCCUAAGUGCUCCGAUGAUAACCACUGAAACUAAGGAGUCAAAUAUUUAGGGGAAAAAAAUAUACCUUAGUUUUUGGCAUUCUGCACAAUGUAUUUAUUAUUGCAUUUCUUUUUUUCAAGACUGAUGUAAACUUUAAAUCUCAGAAAAUUAGUUUGUAGACAUUUUCCUCUUCUGUUGUCUCCACAUGGCACAUUGUCUCAACAUUUUUUCCAUACAGAGGUCACCAUCUUUUAAUGUCAGUCUAAUGAAAGGACACAGAGAAAUGGCUGCUGCUUUUUUGGUUCACUCCUUAUAUGUUCUCAGGAGCUAUGAAGGUUGAAGCUAUGGAGGUUGAUAUUCGUCAAGAAUAAAAAUUAAACUCAUGGAAUUAAAGUCUGAGUAAUAUGCUAGUUUUCAUGGCAGUUCAUAAAGGACUGUCUCUCAUGGGAGGGACCCCAUGCUGGAGCAGGGAAAGAGUGUGAGGAAUUCUCCCUGGAGGAGGAAGGAGCAGCAGAGACAACCUGUGAUGGACUGACCACAGCCCCUAUUUCCUGUCCUACCUAGCCACUGGGGGAGAGGAGAAAGAGGACUUGGGAUUAAAGACCAGGAAAAAGGGGUGUGUAGGUGGAAGGUGUUUUACUAUUUCUCUUUAUUUCUCAUUAUCCUACUCUGAUUUAUUUGGUAAUAAAUUAAACUAAUUUCCCCAAGUCAA